ensembl:rRNA 5S_rRNA 5S ribosomal RNA
GCUUACGGCCAUACCACCCUGAGCACGCCCGAUCUCGUCUGAUCUCCGAAGCUAAGCAGGGUCGGGCCUGGUUAGUACUUGGAUGGGAGACCGCCUGGGAAUACCAGGUGCUGUAAGCU